AUUGAACGCUGGCGGCAGGCCUAACACAUGCAAGUCGAGCGAGCGGCGGACGGGUGAGUACUGUCUGGGAAACUGCCUGAUGGAGGGGGAUAACUACUGGAAACGGUAGCUAAUCACGCAUACCAUCCGAUUUGCCCAGAUGGGAUUAGCUAGUAGGUGGGGUAACGGCUCACCUAGGCGACGAUCCCUAGCCGGGCUGAGAGGAUGAACAGCCACACUGGGACUGAGACACGGUCCAGACUCCUACGGGAGGCAGCAGUGUGGAAUAUUGCACAAUGGGCGAAAGUCUGAUGCAGCCAUGCCGCGUGUGUGAAGAAGGUCUUCGGGGUGUAAAGCACUUUCAUCGGGGAGGCGGUACCCGCAGAAGAAGCACCGGCUAACUCCGUGCCAGCAGCCGCGGUAAUUC
rnacentral:rRNA from 1 species